UACGUAGGGUGCGAGCGUAAUCGGAAUUACUGGGCGUAAAGCGUGCGCAGGCGGUUGUGCAAGACAGGUGUGAAAUCCCCGGGCUUAACCUGGGAACUGCGCUUGUGACUGCACGACUAGAGUACGGUAGAGGGGGGGUGGAAUUCCUGGUGUAGCAGUGAAAUGCGUAGAUAUCAGGAGGAACAUCGAUGGCGAAGGCAGCCCCCU
rnacentral:rRNA from 1 species